UCCUUUCUUAUGACGGUUUGA
rnacentral:piRNA from 1 species